GUUAUUUAAUAUAAAGUCUGACCUGCCCACUGAAAUUAUUUUGAAGGGCCGCAGUAUUUUGACUGUGCAAAGGUAGCAUAAUCAUUAGUCUUUUAAUUGAAGGCUGGUAUGAAUGGUUGGAUGAGGUACAAGCUGUGUCAUAAAAAUUAAUAUUUGAAUUUACCUUUUUAGUCAAAAGGCUAAAAUAAAAUUAAAAGACGAGAAGACCCUAUAGAGCUUUAUAUAUUUUAUAUUUAAAUUAUUAAGAUUUUUUAAAUUUAAUUAUUUUAUUAUAUUUUGUUGGGGUGACAAUAAAAUUUAUAAAACUUUUAUUAUUAUUAUACAUUUAUUUAUGACCAUAUGAUCCAGUUUUAUUGAUUAUAAAUUUAAGUUACCUUAGGGAUAACAGCGUAAUUUUUUUUGAGAGUUCUUAUCGACAAAAAAGAUUGCGACCUCGAUGUUGGAUUAAGAGUAAUUUUGGGUGUAGAAGUUCAAAGUUUAAGUCUGUUCGACUUUUAAAUUCUUACAUGAUC
rnacentral:rRNA from 1 species